UUAAACUAAGAGUAUAAGGGUAGAGCUUUAUACUCAAAAAUUAAUUAAAGAUGAUUAAAUGAAAUAAUGGUUUAUAAAUUAGGUCUUAUAGUGGCCAUAUUUUUAAAGUGUUUAAACUAUUAAAAUAAAAAAAAUUUUAUUUUUACUCUCUUAUAAGUAAAUAAUAGAACAAAUUUUGUAUCAAAAGUAGAUUAGAGAUAAUGAAAAUAUUAGUAGAUAAAUAAUUAUUAUAAUUAAAUAAAUAGAUUUAAUAAAUAAUUUUUAAUAAAAUUAAAUAAAAGUUAGAGGAAUUCAGCAAAUUUUUUUCUUGCCUGUUUAACAAAAACAUGUCUAUAUGAAGUUAUAUAAAGUCUGGCCUGCCCGUUGAAGAAAUUUGAAAGGCCGCGGUAUAUUAACUGUGCAAAGGUAGCAUAAUCAUUAGCUUUUUAAUUGAAGGCUUGUAUGAAGGGUCUGACAAAGAAAAAGCUGUCUUUAAUUUUAUUUUUGAAUUUAACUUUUAAGUGAAAAGGCUUAGUUGAGUUUAAGGGACGAUAAGACCCUAUAAAUCUUUAUAUUAAAUUAUUAUCUUGGAUUUUAAUUAUUUUGUCUAGAUUUUUAAGUAAAAUAAUAAAUAUUUUGUUGGGGUGACAAGAAUAUAAGAAUAACUGUUCAUAAUUAAAACAAAGUUGUUUGAAUAAAAGUUAUAGAUCCUUUUUAUAGAUUAAGAGAUUAAGUUACUUUAGGGAUAACAGCGUUAUUUUUUUUGAGAGUUCUUAUCGAAAAAAAAGUUUGCGACCUCGAUGUUGAAUUAAAAUUUCUCUAUGGUGUAGAAGCUGUAGAAGAAAGUCUGUUCGACUUUUGAAAUUUU
rnacentral:rRNA from 1 species